AGCGAACGCUGGCGGCAGGCUUAACACAUGCAAGUCGAGCGGGCAUAGCAAUAUGUCAGCGGCAGACGGGUGAGUAACGCGUGGGGACGUACCUUUUGGUUCGGAACAACUGAGGGAAACUUCAGCUAAUACCGGAUAAGCCCUUACGGGGAAAGAUUUAUCGCCGAAAGAUCGGCCCGCGUCUGAUUAGCUAGUUGGUGAGGUAAUGGCUCACCAAGGCGACGAUCAGUAGCUGGUCUGAGAGGAUGAUCAGCCACAUUGGGACUGAGACACGGCCCAAACUCCUACGGGAGGCAGCAGUGGGGAAUAUUGGACAAUGGGCGCAAGCCUGAUCCAGCCAUGCCGCGUGAGUGAUGAAGGCCCUAGGGUUGUAAAGCUCUUUUGUGCGGGAAGAUAAUGACAGUACCGCAAGAAUAAGCCCCGGCUAACUUCGUG
rnacentral:rRNA from 1 species